CCUACGGGUGGCAGCAGUGAGGAAUAUUGGUCAAUGGCCGGAAGGCUGAACCAGCCAAGUCGCGUGAAGGAAGAAGGAUCUAUGGUUUGUAAACUUCUUUUAUAGGGGGAUAAAGGUAUCCACGUGUGGAUAUUUGCAUGUACCCUAUGAAUAAGCAUCGGCUAACUCCGUGCCAGCAGCCGCGGUAAUACGGAGGGUGCGAGCGUUAUCCGGCUUUAUUGGGUUUAAAGGGUGCGUCGGUUGUUGUUUAAGUCAGCGGUGAAAGUUUGUGGCUACACCAUAAUAUUGCCGUUGACACUGGAAGACUUGAGUUUGUUUGAGGUCGGCGGAAUGCGUGGUGUAGCGG
rnacentral:rRNA from 1 species